rnacentral:lncRNA from 1 species
UAUUAUAGCCAGAGAACGUAGCCCAAUUACAGUAUAUCUAGAUUAAUGCGUUCCGAACAUGUGUUUUGGAGCCUAGACCAAGCCUGAGCUCGCACGUGUGCAUGGCUUUCGUCAACGGCGGAGCCUCGAGCAAGAAAGGAAGUCGUUGCCAUUGGCCUCGAAGCCUCGUGCCAGCAUCUCUGUGUCAACUCAUACUGCAGCUUCGGGGGGAAUGGCGGCUGGAGCGGGCCGGUGUCUGGGUUGGGGAUUUCGCUGGAGUCGUGGGUGCAGCAGAAGGAGAGAUCAUGUGGGAUCGCAUUUGCUUCAAUUCUUUCAUGGUCUUGCAUUGGUCCGGUAGGGAGGUGAGCUGGUGGUUUGGCAGGGUGGAUUGGAGAUGGGGUGGAAACAAGAG